GACGAACGCUGGCGGCGUGCUUAAUACAUGCAAGUCGAACGGACAGGCCCUGCUUUUGUGGGGCGCUCGUUUGGCGAACGGGUGAGUAACACGUGUGUAACCCGCCCUUGACUUUGGGAUAACUUCAGGAAACUGGGGCUAAUACCGGAUAGGAGCUCUUGCUGCAUGGUGGUGGUUGGAAAGUUUCGGCGGUUGGGGAUGGACUCGCGGCUUAUGAGCUUGUUGGUGGGGUAGUGGCUUACCAAGGCUUCGACGGGUAGCCCGCCUGAGAGGGUGAACGGCCACAUGAGGACUGCGAUACGGCCCAGACUCCUACGGGAGGCAGCAGGGGGGAGUCUUGCGCAAUGGGCGGAAGCCAGAUGCAGCAACGCCGCGUGCGUGAUGACGUCCUUCGGGUUGUAAACCGCUUUCGCCUGUGCCGAAGCGUGAGUGACGGUAAUGGGUCAGAAAGCACCGGCUAACUACGUG
rnacentral:rRNA from 1 species